GCCGGGCGUGGUGGCAUACACCCGUAAUCCCAGUGACUUGGGAGGCUGAGGCAGGAGGAUUGUGAGUUCAAAGCCAGUCUCAGCAAAAGUGAGGCGCUAAGCAACUCAGUGAGACCCUGUCUUUA
rnacentral:sRNA from 1 species